rnacentral:rRNA from 1 species
CGGUUGAUCCUGCCGGACCACACUACUAUCGGGAUAGGACUAAGACAUGCAAGUUGUGCAUCCUCACCUAAGUGAGGGUGCAGCGACAUCUCAGUAACACGUGGCUAACCUACCCUUAGGGCGUAAGCUUAUCCGGGAAACUGGAUCUAACUUACGAUAGGUGAGAAAGCCUCGAAUGGUUUCUCACCCAAAAACCGCACACAACCAUGCUGUGUGCGGUGCCUAAGGAGGGGGCCGCGUCCGAUCAGGCUGUUGGUGAGGUAAGCUCACCAAGCCUUUUACCGGUGCGGGCCGUGAGAGCGGGAGCCCGGAGAUGGGCACUGAGACAAGGGCCCAGGCCCUACGGGGCGCAGCAGUCGCGAAAACUCUGCAAUACACGAAAGUGUGACAGGGCUAUCCCGAGUGCCUUCCUCUGAGGAAGGCUUUUACCCAGCUUAGAACGCUGGAGGAAUAAGGAGAGGGCAAGACUGGUGUCAGCCGCCGCGGUAAUACCAGCUCUCCGAGUGGUGUGGAUGUUUAUUUGGCCUAAAGCAUCCGUAGCUGGCUGAGCAAGUCCCCCGUUAAAUCCAACGAUUUAAUCGUUGGAAAGCGGGGGAUACUGCUCAGCUAGGGGGCGGGAGAAGCAGACGGUAUUCCCGGGGUAGGGGUGAAAUCCUAUAAUCCCGGGAAGACCACCAGUGGCGAAGGCGGUCUGCUAGAACGCGCCCGACGGUGAGGGAUGAAAGCUGGGGGAGCGAACCGGAUUAGAUACCCGGGUAGUCCCAGCUGUAAACGAUGCAGGCUAGGUGUUUGGGCGGCCACGUGCCGCUCUAGUGCCGCAGGGAAGCCGUUAAGCCUGCCGCCUGGGGAGUACGGCCGCAAGGCUGAAACUUAAAGGAAUUGGCGGGGGAGCAC